CCUACGGGCGGCUGCAGUGGGGAAUAUUGCACAAUGGGCGCAAGCCUGAUGCAGCCAUGCCGCGUGUGUGAAGAAGGCCUUCGGGUUGUAAAGCACUUUCAGCGGGGAGGAAGGCGUUAAGGUUAAUAACCUUGUCGAUUGACGUUACCCGCAGAAGAAGCACCGGCUAACUCCGUGCCAGCAGCCGCGGUAAUACGGAGGGUGCAAGCGUUAAUCGGAAUUACUGGGCGUAAAGCGCACGCAGGCGGUCUGUCAAGUCGGAUGUGAAAUCCCCGGGCUCAACCUGGGAACUGCAUUCGAAACUGGCAGGCUAGAGUCUUGUAGAGGGGGGUAGAAUUCCAGGCGUAGCGGUGAAAUGCGUAGAGAUCUGGAGGAAUACCGGUGGCGAAGGCGGCCCCCUGGACAAAGACUGACGCUCAGGUGCGAAAGCGUGGGGAGCAAACAGGAUUAGAUACCCGGGUAGUC
rnacentral:rRNA from 1 species